rnacentral:rRNA from 1 species
UACGUAGGGUGCAAGCGUUGUCCGGAAUUAUUGGGCGUAAAGAGCUCGUAGGCGGUCUGUCGCGUCGGCUGUGAAAACCCGGAGCUCAACUCCGGGCCUGCAGUCGAUACGGGCAGACUGGAGUUCGGCAGGGGAGACUGGAAUUCCUGGUGUAGCGGUGAAAUGCGCAGAUAUCAGGAGGAACACCUGUGGUGUAGACAGCUUACUGGACCACUUCUGACGCUGAGACACGAAAGCGUGGGUAGCAAACAGG